rnacentral:rRNA from 1 species
UACGAAGGGGGCUAGCGUUGCUCGGAAUCACUGGGCGUAAAGGGUGCGUAGGCGGGUCUUUAAGUCGGGGGUGAAAUCCUGGAGCUCAACUCCAGAACUGCCUUCGAUACUGGGAAUCUUGAGUCCGGAAGAGGUGAGUGGAACUGCGAGUGUAGAGGUGAAAUUCGUAGAUAUUCGCAAGAACACCAGUGGCGAAGGCGGCUCACUGGUCCGGUACUGACGCUGAGGUGCGAAAGCGUGGGGAGCAAACAGG